CUCUGUGACUCCUACGGGAGGCAGCAGUGGGGAAUAUUGCACAAUGGGGGAAACCCUGAUGCAGCCAUGCCGCGUGUGUGAAGAAGGCCUUCGGGUUGUAAAGCACUUUCAGUAGGGAGGAAGGUAGUGUAGUUAACACCUGCAUUAUUUGACGUUACCUACAGAAGAAGCACCGGCUAAACUCCGUGCCAGCAGCCGCGGUAAUACGGAGGGUGCGAGCGUUAAUCGGAAUUACUGGGCGUAAAAGCGCAUGCAGGCGGCCUGUUAAGUCAGAUGUGAAAGCCCCGGGGCUUAACCUCGGAAUUGCAUUUGAAACUGGCAGGCUAGAGUCUUGUAGAGGGGGUAGAAUUUCAGGUGUAGCGGUGAAAUGCGUAGAGAUCUGAAGGAAUACCAGUUGGCGAAGGCGGCCCCCUGGACAAAGACUGACGCUCAGAUGCGAAAGCGUGGGGAGCAAACAGGAUUAGAUACCCCUGGUAG
rnacentral:rRNA from 1 species